rnacentral:rRNA from 1 species
AUGUACAUUCCUACAAUUUAGCGUUAGUGCAUCGGAUCCCAUUAUAACUUCGCAGCUAAGCACACUCAGGCUAGAGUAGUACUGGGAUGGGUGACUUCCUGGGAAGUCCUAGUAUUUUACAUG